ensembl:snRNA U6 U6 spliceosomal RNA
AUGCUCACUUUGGCAGCACAUAUACUAAAAUUGGAACAAUACAGAGAAGGUUAGCAUGGCCCCUGUGUAAGGAUGAUAUGGAAAUUCAUGAAGCAUUUCAUAUUUGA